UGGAGUUGGUCCUGACUCGGGGGCCUGUCAGUCAUCGGCCAAGGGCCAGGCUUUGGGGUGUCGACUCCCACACAGCUCAGCUCCCUGAAGAUGUGGGCACGGUGGUGGUGGGGGCUGCUGAAGAGUUGCAGAUGCAGCCACUGGAGGGGAGGCUGAGGUCAGUAGCCAGGCUCACAGGGACGACAAUGGGAUGGGAAGCAACACCUGACGGGCUCAGCUACAGGUGCUGACGGAUUCACAGGCAGGUGGCAGAAGGCAGUCAAAUAAAUGAGACAAUACAGCGCCCUCCCUGCGACCACACACACCGCUCACGCCUGUGAGGACAUGGAAGCACAGGGAGGUUAUGCCACUCGCCCAAAGACAACUAAUCAGUGACAGCUGAGACUUGGACUGCAGAACCUACACUUUAUAACUAUUUUACAGUUCUGGGCGUCACGGAAUCUUGCAUGAAGAGCCCCUAACCUGGCCCGGGUGGAGGUCAGGGAGGUCUUCCUGGAAGAGGGGGUUCUUGGCAGCAACUUGCUGGAUUUGGUGUUCCCUGUUGGUUGGCUCUGCUUCCUCAGUGUCAGCAUCAUUCACAGCAGGCAUGUCCCUCCUGCCUCCAAGAGAGUCACCAGCAGCUUCCUCCUCCACAUCUAGAGAUAUUAUUCCCCCCAUUUCAUGGAGGAGGAAACUGACGAUCAGAGCAGCCAGGAAACAGGAUGGCGUUGUCUGCUGAGGGACGGUGUGUUCCCUGGAGAGGAGAUCCAGCUUGCCAUUGUGGGUUUCUUACAGCAAAAAUCCUGUGUGUACACAUAUGCUGAACAAGGCGCACACAGUCUUCAUACUUCUUUCCCCAAAUCCACUGUUGUACCUCACUCUGGAAACCAAAGAAUACAAAUGGAGAUGAGGCUAA
rnacentral:lncRNA from 1 species